GGUUAGUCUCGAAACUUUCGUUUCUCUUCUUGCCAUCUAGAUGCCCUUUCUCCUCCAUUUUUCUAUUGCCGCAUUCCUCUAGUUUGGUCCCCCGCAAACCUUUCGCCUCUUGUCCCGUCUGAUUUCUCCAAAAUUUUUAGGAUCUUUGUUUGAAAUGUCUUCUGGCACCUCCGCCUCUAGUGGUUCCAGGAGUUCGUCC
rnacentral:lncRNA from 1 species